GGUUUUAACCCAGUUAACCAAGGUUAGAAUGGAUUCCGACCAUUCGAAAGAGUGUGUUGAAUAACAAUAAUUUUUGGAACAGCUUAUUCAGGGUUAUCCGCAAAAGAUAAGAAU
ensembl:snRNA sls-2.6 ncRNA